rnacentral:rRNA from 1 species
AGGGGGUGCAAGCGUUGCUCGGAAUCACUGGGCGUAAAGCGUACGCAGGCGGACCGUUAAGUCGGGUGUGAAAGCCCGGGGCUCAACCCCGGAACUGCAUUCGAUACUGGCGGUCUUGAAUACGGGAGAGGUGAGUGGAAUUCCUGGUGUAGAGGUGAAAUUCGUAGAUAUCAGGAGGAACACCGGUGGCGAAAGCGGCUCACUGGCCCGAUAUUGACGCUCAUGUACGAAAGCGUGGGGAGCAAACAGGAUUAGAUACCCUGGUAGUCCACGCUGUAAACGAUGAGUGCUAGCUGCUGGAGAUCCUUUUAUUUCUUCGGUGGCGUAGCCAACGCGUUAAGCACUCCGCCUGGGAAGUACGGCCGCAAGGCUA